ACCGUCCUUAUCUGGGGGUGCGCGGCUGCCCGAUGAGCGCGUGGCGAGGGCAGCUCUGCUGACGCCUUGAAACAGCACACACAGCGCCCGCCUCGCGCGUGGCGCAAUUUUUGGAACC